GGGUGGGGUUACAAAUGUCCGUACUCAAUGACUGGUCUCAUGCAAUAAUGUAACAGUGUUGUGUAUGUUGUUAAUUGGUACGGUACAAAAACGGUACAGCCAUAGAUAGAACUUGGUACAGCUACACGAACGAAUAACUCUACAUCUAAAACUGAAUAAUGGAAGCAGCGAAUUGGUCAGUUGUAGAUGUCCACAUGCUUUUGAUCACCUGGGCAGACUCCAGCAUCCAGAGGCAACUGGAUUCUUCCAGCAGGAAUGAAAAGGUCUUCAAAAAACUCAAACAAGAAUAUAAAAAGAUAAAAGACUGCACAACAGCAAAGGUUGUAUCAGAAAGCGAUAUUUGAAGACACGAUGACGGCGAGCAGCAAUGAUCAGCACGGAAUAGAAAACACACUGCAAGAACAACCAGCAAAUACCUGAAUUUCAUGAGGGAGGCCUCACACCUGGAGACACUUGAGGCCCAGCAUCAGCAGCAGGAUCUGCACUUCAAUCAGCUUGGCUGCGAUGGCACAGACAGCAUCGUUUAACAACAGCUUCAUAGCUGUAUUUGGAAAGUUUGUCCAAGCCAUAAAAGGACAUCAGACAACAGCAGCAGACAUGACACUAGACUAAACUGGCUGAAGUUCAUAUUUAAAAAAACACAUUUUUUAUUCACUUAAAUUUGCACUACACCAAAAGCAUUUUGAAUGUGGCUUUCAAUUAUUGUUAAUUGAAUUUAACCUACUGUUAAAACCUCUUACAUCUAGACGUUCCGCUAGCGGAACACCUGCUCCAAUAUCCAAUGAUAGGCGUGGCGCGAAUUACAAAUUUCUCAAAAAUACAAAAACUUCAAUUUUUCAAACAUAUGACUAUUUCACAGCAUUUUAAAG
rnacentral:lncRNA from 1 species